rnacentral:rRNA from 1 species
GACGAACGCUGGCGGCGUGCCUAAUACAUGCAAGUAGAACGCACAGUUUAUACCGUAGCUUGCUACACCAUAGACUGUGAGUUGCGAACGGGUGAGUAACGCGUAGGUAACCUGCCUGGUAGCGGGGGAUAACUAUUGGAAACGAUAGCUGAUACCGCAUAAUAUUGAUUAUUGCAUGAUAAUUGAUUGAAAGAUGCUAUUGCAUCACUACCAGAUGGACCUGCGUUGUAUUAGCUAGUAGGUGAGGUAACGGCUCACCUAGGCGACGAUACAUAGCCGACCUGAGAGGGUGAUCGGCCACACUGGGACUGAGACACGGCCCAGACUCCUACGGGAGGCAGCAGUAGGGAAUCUUCGGCAAUGGACGAAAGUCUGACCGAGCAACGCCGCGUGAGUGAAGAAGGUUGUCGGAUCGUAAAGCUCUGUUGUAAGAGAAGAACGGGUGUGAGAGUGGAAAGUUCACACUGUGACGGUAUCUUACCAGAAAGGGACGGCUAACUACGUG